GACGGAGGGGGCUAGCGUUGUUCGGAAUUACUGGGCGUAAAGGGCGCGUAGGCGGCUCUUCAAGUUAGACGUGAAAGCCCUGGGCUUAACCUAGGAAUAGCGUUUAAUACUGGAGGGCUAGAGAUCGGUAGAGGGAAAUGGAAUUCCUAGUGUAGAGGUGAAAUUCGUAGAUAUUAGGAAGAACACCAGAGGCGAAGGCGGUUUCCUGGGCCGAUACUGACGCUGAGGCGCGAAAGCGUGGGGAGCAAACAGGAUUAGAUACCCCCGUAGUCC
rnacentral:rRNA from 1 species